UGCGCCUUGCCAGCCCGCUCAGAAACUCAAAGGAAUUGACGGGGGCCCGCACAAGCGGUGGAGCAUGUGGUUCAAUUCGAUGCAACGCGAAGAACCUUACCUGGGCUUGAACCGCACCUGUAAACCUGUGGAAACACGGGUCCCUCCUUCGGGAGCAGGUGUAGAGGUGCUGCAUGGCUGUCGUCAGCUCGUGUCGUGAGAUGUUGGGUUAAGUCCCGCAACGAGCGCAACUCCUGCCCUUAGUUGCCAUCGGGUCACGCCGGGAACUCUAAGGGGACCGCCCCGGACAACGGGGAGGAAGGUGGGGAUGACGUCAAGUCAGCAUGGCCUUUAUGUCCAGGGCUACACACGUGCUACAAUGGUUGGUACAAAGGGUUGCCAAGCCGUGAGGCGGAGCCAACCUCAAAAAGCCAACCUCAGUUCGGAUUGCAGUCUGCAACUCGACUGCAUGAAGUUGGAAUCGCUAGUAAUCGCUGAUCAGCAGGCAGCGGUGAAUACGUUCCCGGGCCUU
rnacentral:rRNA from 1 species